rnacentral:SRP_RNA from 1 species
GCUGGGCAUGGUGGUGUGUGCCUGUAAUCCCAGCUACUCAGGAGGCUGAGACAGGAGAAUCGCUUGAACUCAGGAGGCAGAGGUUGCAGUGAGCCAAGAUGGCACCAUUGCACUCCAGCCUGGGUAACAGAGUGAGACUCUGUCUCCA